ACAACCGGUGCCUAUACCACGUGACUUUUUUAGAUCUGUGUGGGGAGUAAAAUAUCAACAAAAGCGCGACGAAGGUAUGGCUCAAUGCUCCGAAUGCGGAAAAAUGUCGAAGACCAGAGCUGGAUUAUUGCGCCACAUUAGGGGACACGCUAACUCUGGAAACUAUAACUGCUGUGGGAAAGCAUUUCAGGAUGCCUACAAUCUUAGAAGGCUUCAACAAACAAAGGACCCCAAUGUCACGUGUGUGUACAGUGCGGCAGGAGCUUUGCGGACAAGUAACUUCUCGUUGCUAGAGAGAAAAGUGCAAAAAAGAGGGAUUGGUGAAAUG